rnacentral:ncRNA from 2 species
UCAUUCAGCUAGGGGAGCCCAUCGGGCUGAGAGUGGAGCACGCCUCCAGACCCUCUGAACCUGAAGCAGUUCACACUGCCGUAGGGAAGCUGAGCGUACCGCGC